CCAAUAACACGUGUCACAAUUUCAUAACAUAAAGUUAUCCUAAUCAAAGUGUUUUGCAGCGGAAAACGUGUGAGAUAUACAUAUGAAGAUGUAUACUCAAGGUUACAUUUCUUGAAAUGUCAAAGGAACACCCGCUCAACAUCAUUCCAUUCCAUCAACUGCUCAACCUGCACAUUUAGAAAUACAUGCAGGGCUGAGUAUAAAAAUACUCAGUGGGCAUAGCCGAAAAUACAACAUGCAUACAUAUAUAAAUUGAACUGCCAUAACAGUAACACACAGGGGUUUUCUUAAAUGACCUGCGCUUACUAAAAUAUUUCUUUCAUUUUCAUAAAGUCGAUCGGCCGAUCAUUUUCCUUCUAUAUGAUCCAUAUCUGUUCCUUUCUGUCACGCGCCGGGAAGGAGGCCUCCUUACCACGGACGCCAAGACCGGUCGCAAGCGACUCGCGGUCUCCAUGAGUGUACACGUUAACCCUAGCUAGCGACCUUUGUCUAGCAUAGGAUCCCAAUUGGAUUUCCUUUAAAGUUGGCGAACCAACACAGAUAGGAUACAUAUAAAAACAUAAACAUUUUUGGCAGUCAAUCAUUUCAUAAACAUUUCAUUUCAUUUCAUAAACAUUUCAUUUUCAUUUCAUAAGAGUCAUUUAUCAUUUGGGCAUAAUAAUAAACUGAAAUUAACAGUUAAAAUCAUCUCAUGCAUAUAUUCGUAUAAGAGGCCUACGACACGCAGGGGAUCUCUAUAUACGUAUAGUAAAAGUAAUGCCCACCUGGAUAGGCAAAGCCUGAAGAUCAUAAUCACAUAACCUGUCUUGGGAAAGCAGCGCUAAUCCCCCUGGUC
rnacentral:lncRNA from 1 species